CCCCACCACUGUCUGUGGACACCAGCAACGGGGGAGUCUCACGCAACACAGAGGAGGAUUUUGUGGAUGAGGAAGAGGAGGAGAAUCCGUUCUCCCUGGGAGCCAGGCCUUUUCAUCACCCUGGAGCCGAUACCCUCCCAAGGUGGUUUCCUGGACACUGAAGCUGGAGAAGGCACCUCUGGUGCAACUGUUUCUAUGCUUUCCCUAUCUUCUCUUCGGGCACAGCUGAAUGCAUGGAGGCAGACAGAGGCCAGGAAAGCAUUAAGUGAGCAUGAUCAGAACCCAGCCACUCCAGAGGAUGGCCCAAGCAACAGAAAGGCUGUCAUUUAAACAUCUUUGAUUUGUAGUGUGGCUACAAUAAGCAAUGUGGCCUUGUCCUUCCCACCCAGGGUACCUUGUCUGUGAUCUCCCUUUUUUUUUAAAUAAAUAAAGAAUGCAUGGAUUCAAAACAA